rnacentral:rRNA from 1 species
UCUCGUAGCUUGCUAUGAGAACGGUUAGUGGCAGACGGGUGAGUAAUGCAUAGGAAUCUACCUAGUAGUAUGGGAUAGCCACUAGAAAUGGUGGGUAAUACUGUAUAAUCUCUGCGGGGGAAAGAUUUAUCGCUAUUAGAUGAGCCUAUGUUAGAUUAGCUAGUUGGUAGGGUAAAGGCCUACCAAGGCAGUGAUCUAUAGCUGGUCUGAGAGGAUGAUCAGCCACACUGGAACUGAGAUACGGUCCAGAUUCCUACGGGAGGCAGCAGUGGGGAAUAUUGGACAAUGGGCGCAAGCCUGAUCCAGCUAUGCCGCGUGAGUGAGGAAGGCCUUAGGGUUGUAAAACUCUUUCAGUGGGGAAGAUAAUGACAGUACCCACAGAAGAAGUCCCGGCAAACUCCGUGCCAGCAGCCGCGGUAAUACGGAGGGGGCAAGCGUUGUUCGGAAUUAUUGGGCGUAAAGGGCAUGUAGGCGGUUCGGUAAGUUAAAGGUGAAAUGCCAGGGCUUAACCCUGGAGCUGCUUUUAAUACUGCCAGACUGGAGUCCGGGAG